UAUUCUACCGUACGGAUAAUUGACACGUGUAUAAAAAUUACCAUAUGANNNNAAAUUACCAUAUGAAAAAACCCAGAAUUUAGGCAUGAUUUAUGCUUCAAAUUAAUAUGAUAACUUUUAUACACGUGUCAAUCGUUCGUGCGGUGGAAUAG
rnacentral:pre_miRNA from 1 species